rnacentral:rRNA from 1 species
AGAGUUUGAUCCUGGCUCAGAAUCAACGCUGGCGGCGUGCCUAACACGUGCAAGUCGAACGCGAAAGGGGAGCAAUCCCUGAGUAGAGUGGCAAACGGGUGAGUAACACGUGGGUGACCUGCCUUCGAGUGGGGGAUAACUUUCCGAAAGGAAGGCUAAUACCGCAUGACAUACCGUGUUUCGAUACAUGGAUAUCAAAGCUGGGGAUCGCAAGACCUGGCGCUUGAAGAGGGGCCCGCGUCCGAUUAGCUAGUUGGUGAGGUAACGGCUCACCAAGGCUCCGAUCGGUAUCCGGCCUGAGAGGGCGGACGGACACACUGGAACUGAGACACGGUCCAGACUCCUACGGGAGGCAGCAGUGGGGAAUUGUUCGCAAUGGGCGAAAGCCUGACGACGCAACGCCGCGUGGAGGAUGAAGAAUUUCGGUUCGUAAACUCCUUUCGACCGAGAUGAAAACCCAGGGACUUAAUACCUCCUUGGACUGACAGUAUCGAGAGAAGAAGCCCCGGCUAACUCUGUGCCAGCAGCCGCGGUAAUACAGGGGGGGCAAGCGUUGUUCGGAAUUACUGGGCGUAAAGGGUUCGUAGGUGGCCAACUAAGUCAGACGUGAAAUCCCUCAGCUUAACUGGGGAACUGCGUCUGAUACUGGUUGGCUUGAGUGCAGGAGAGGAAUGCGGAAUUCCAGGUGUAGCGGUGAAAUGCGUAGAUAUCUGGAGGAACACCGGUGGCGAAGGCGGCAUUCUGGACUGUAACUGACACUGAGGAACGAAAGCCAGGGGAGCAAACGGGAUUAGAUACCCCGGUAGUCCUGGCCCUAAACGAUGAAUGCUUGGUGUGGCGGGUAUCGAUCCCUGCCGUGCCGAAGUUAACGCAUUAAGCAUUCCGCCUGGGGAGUACGGUCGCAAGGCUAAAACUCAAAGGAAUUGACGGGGGCCCGCACAAGCGGUGGAGCAUGUGGUUUAAUUCGACGACGCGAAGAACCUUACCCAGGCUCGAAAUGCAGAUGACCAUCGGUGAAAGCCGACUCCCGCAAGGGCAACUGUAUAGGUGCUGCAUGGCUGUCGUCAGCUCGUGUCGUGAGAUGUUGGGUUAAGUCCCGCAACGAGCGCAACCCUUGUUUCCUGUUGCCAUCACGUAAUGGUGGGCACUCUGGAGAGACUGCCGGUGACAAACCGGAGGAAGGUGGGGAUGACGUCAAGUCAGCAUGGCCUUUAUGUCUGGGGCUACACACGUGCUACAAUGGCCGAUACAAAGCGUUGCAAACUCGCGAGGGUGAGCUAAUCGCAUAAAGUCGGUCUCAGUUCGGAUUGCAGGCUG